rnacentral:rRNA from 1 species
CAGUAGCCGCGGUAAUACAGAGGGUGCGAGCGUUAAUCGGAUUUACUGGGCGUAAAGCGUGCGUAGGCGGCUUCUUAAGUCGGAUGUGAAAUCCCUGAGCUUAACUUAGGAAUUGCAUUUGAUACUGGGAAGCUAGAGUAUGGGAGAGGAUGGUAGAAUUCCAGGUGUAGCGGUGAAAUGCGUAGAGAUCUGGAGGAAUACCGAUGGCGAAGGCAGCCAUCUGGCCUAAUACUGACGCUGAGGUACGAAAGCAUGGGGAGCAAACAGGAUUAGAGACCCCUGUAGUCCCUGUCUCUUAUAC